GGGUCAGUAGGUUGGUCGUGCCACCGGUACGUACUGGUCUCACUGCUUCCUCCUUCCUGAAGAACCGUAAUGCCAUUAAUUUGGUGUUGCGGGGAAACAGGACUGUUACUUUGAAAAAAUUAGAGUGUUUAAAGCAAGCUAACGCUUGAAUACAUUAGCAUGGAAUAAUGAAAUAGGACGAUCGAUCCUAUUUUGUUGGUUUCUAGGAUUGACGUA
rnacentral:rRNA from 1 species